UCCUGCCUCAGCCUUCCAACUGUUGGGAUUACAGGAAUAACAACACGCUUUGGAAGAGAUUAAAGCUUUAAAGAUAAUCAACAGUUAUAUUCAUGGAAACUCAAUUCUAUUGCACAGGAAUCUGGAAUUUUGGCACAUAUUAGGAAAACAGAAG